rnacentral:ncRNA from 1 species
UAUAGUAAUCCUAUUUAGUACAAGAGGAACCACUGGUUCAGACAUUCAUCAUACGUGCCUGUCCAAAGGCCUAUGGUGCGAAGCUACCAUCUGAGGGAUUAAGACUGAACGCCUGUGAGCUUGAAUCCCGUCCGUACAUUCUGCGCCUGUUACACGGCAAGGCUUGCUUACGUUUUCAUUGGCGCUUGGCCCAGACCAUGAGUCUGUCCUGGCCCAUUAGAUCUGGCGUAAUGCCACAGUGGUUAUCGAAACCGUACACCGGACCUUGCUGUGCAGAGGACAACGCGAUACCCGAAGGUAGAAUUAGCGUUAAGGCACCAAAUCGUCGGCAGAUGACCCAAUUUUUUGUCAAGGAGGUGUAAGCGUUCGAGCAGCUGCCAUGCUGCGAGACGUUUAGCCCUAUCCCUUUUGAACAAUGUUG